rnacentral:rRNA from 1 species
ACGGUGGGUGAUCUGCCCUGCACUCUGGGAUAAGCCUGGGAAACUGGGUCUAAUACCGGAUAGGACCAUGCUUUAGUGUGUGUGGUGGAAAGUUUUUUCGGUGUAGGAUGAGCCCGCGGCCUAUCAGCUUGUUGGUGGGGUAAUGGCCUACCAAGGCGGCGACGGGUAGCCGGACUGAGAGGUUGGUCGGCCACAUUGGGACUGAGAUACGGCCCAG